rnacentral:hammerhead_ribozyme from 1 species
GCACUGCUGAGGAGUCCCAUAAUAGGACGAAACAGCUAUCCAGUUC